rnacentral:rRNA from 1 species
UUUCAGCGGGGAGGAAGGCGAUAAGGUUAAUAACCUUGUCGAUUGACGUUACCCGCAGAAGAAGCACCGGCUAACUCCGUGCCAGCAGCCGCGGUAAUACGGAGGGUGCAAGCGUUAAUCGGAAUUACUGGGCGUAAAGCGCACGCAGGCGGUCUGUCAAGUCGGAUGUGAAAUCCCCGGGCUCAACCUGGGAACUGCAUUCGA